CUUUGACAUUCCAGGCUUAUUGCUUGUAGAAGCCUGCCAAGUCACUAAGCACACAGGACUGCUCAUGGAAGAGUGUUUGCUUCAAUAUUUAGCAUCAUAUUUUCAAAUGGACCAGAAGGGACAGAUGGAGAACACAAGCAACUUGGCAGGGUUUUAUGUUCCAUUCUGUCAUACCACAUGUGGAAAAUGAGUGAACCAACAUCAACAUGCUCAGGUCUAGAAAGU
rnacentral:lncRNA from 1 species